rnacentral:rRNA from 1 species
UCGGGAAUUUUGGGCAAUGGGCGAAAGCCUGACCCAGCAACGCCGCGUGAAGGAUGAAGUAUUUCGGUAUGUAAACUUCGUAAGAAUAGGAAGAAUAAAUGACGGUACUAUUUGUAAGGUCCGGCUAACUACGUGCCAGCAGCCGCGGUAAUACGUAGGGACCAAGCGUUGUUCGGAUUUACUGGGCGUAAAGGGCGCGUAGGCGGUGUGUCAAGUCAGUUGUGAAAUCUCCGAGCUUAACUCGGAACGGUCAACUGAUACUGUCACACUAGAGUACAGAAGGGGCAAUCGGAAUUCUUGGUGUAGCGGUGAAAUGCGUAGAUAUCAAGAGGAACACCUGAGGCGAAGGCGGGUUGCUGGGCUGACACUGACGCUGAGGCGCGAAAGCCAGGGGAGCAAACGGGAUUAGAUACCCGUGUAGUCCCUGAGCGGGCUGGCAAGGCGCAU